rnacentral:lncRNA from 12 species
AUUCUUUUAUGAAAAACGAUCUGAAAGAUUCAUUAAGGAAUUGAACUAAUGCAAUUCUUGAGUUCAGCUCACUGAUUCAAUUAUUUAGUCUAAGUGGUUAACAGUUGACUGUAAUGUAUUGAGUAAUGAUGCGUAUUCCUAUUUCUCACAAAAACCUGUCACAUGAUUUAGAAUGCAGCACACAAGUUGUAUAUACCAAGAUGCUUUUAUGGUACUUUUGUGUCCUUUUUGAUGCCUGAAUCUUUAUUGUAAUUUCUUUGAAAAGAGCAGGCAGAAUAUUUUAGGAGAGAUAGAGUCAUAUAGGUUUGGAACUACAUAAGGGUGAAUAAAUAUGACAGAUUUGUUAUAUUUGUUGAACUUCUGCUUUAAGACAGCUUGUUUUUAGACUCUGUAUGGAGAAGACAAAAUGAUGUAUGUACUUUUUUGUCUCUGAGGACCUCUGUCUCAAACUCUUCUGGGAAAGUGAUGGAUACAUUCCUGCCUUUGCUUUAGUGUCUGUUUCCUCCAUCUAUACUUCAUAUUGUGUCUCUUUUGUUUGGUUGGCUGUCUUCCAUCUCAACUAGUCAUUUUUCCACAUUUUGACUUUCCUCUCUUCUGAAUUGUCUCUGUUUCUGUAUUUGUCAGUGGUGAGACGAUAUCCAGUGUUCGUGGGCCGAGCGCAUCGCUCUUACACCCGUCAGGAGCCACUCUACAUUCAGACCGUCCUGAAAGUCAACCGUACACUCUACAUCGGAGCCAGAGAUGACCUUUAUCGAGUGGAACUGGACCAUGUAUCUGGAGAUGAAAUGUUCUACAGCAAGGUGAGACCUUGUACCGCUGUCUCUCUCUCUCUCUCUCUCUCUUUCACACACACACACAUACACACACACACACACACACACACACACACACACACACACACACACACACACAAUUGCAUGUUCACCCAUAAAUUUCGGUGA